rnacentral:rRNA from 1 species
AUGGCGCCGGUGUUCUCGAGGGAUGCCUGGAGAUGCGUGUGGCACAUGAUCCAGCAUUUCAAAACAGAACAAUAUGAAAUUAUGCAGAAAUAUGAUAAUUCAUCAUGUAAACAUACUCAAGUUCAUCUAAACAUACUCAACCGUACUCAGCCUUGA